GAGGAAUGGAAAGGUGGAAAGGUUUUCUACUGACCUUUAUAACUAUGAAGGUUUCUAUACUUGAUCUGAGCUCA
ensembl:snoRNA